UACGUAGGAGGCGAGCGUUGUCCGGAGUUACUGGGCGUAAGCGUGCGUAGGCGGUUCGUUAAGUUCGUUGUGAAGCCCCGGCUCAACCUGGGAACUGCAAUGGAACUGGCGGCUUGAGUGUGGCAGAGGGGGUGGAAUUCCGCGUGUAGCAGUGAAAUGCGUAGAUAUCGGGAGGAAUACCGAUGGCGAAGGCAGGUCUCUGGCUGACACUGACGCUCAUGCACGAAAGCGUGGGAGCAAACAG
rnacentral:rRNA from 1 species